GGAGGACAGACCCGUCUUCACCCCAGAUUCGCACGCAGUGUGCGGGGGCCAUUCCCGGCCGUGGGAGGGGCCGAGGUGUGCCGGACCCGGGGGUGAGGAGCAGGAACCUCGUGAGAGAAAGCGGAGGCAGCGUGACCCUCGGGCUGCUCUUCCAGGAAGGCUGGGCGUGUCCCUGGGGCCCAGAGGGACCCGGAGUCUCUGCGUGCCAGAAGGUCGAAGGCGGGAGUCAGAAAACCCCACACGAUGAGGGAGAGAGGUCGCACCUGAGCUGGAAGGAGCCAGAGCCACGCCGCUGCGUGUGACACCUCAGGGGAGGAGCCAGGAGCCCCGGGCAUGCAGGCCUGCCCUCCACCAGCUGAGCUACGCACCUGGGCUCCUGAGGACUCUAAACAGAGACAGAGGGACGUCCACAGACAAGCAGCUCAGGACACGCACGCACUGCUGGCGGAGAGGGGACAUAGCUCCAGAUAAACAGACCCAGACGGGGCUGGGAGGCAGUGUCAGGGCUCUGCAAACAGACCCUCCUGCCUCAGGCUCCAAAGGAAAGUAUUAAAAAAUAAAACAAUAAAAUCUUUGGGCAGUGA